rnacentral:lncRNA from 1 species
AGGACAGGUGAUGUGAAUGUUUGUUCUAGAUUUAAUUCAGUUUUCUGAAUGGACACAGGGAGUUGGGAGUAUGUGUGUGUGUGUGUGUGUGUGUGUGUGUGUGUGUGCGCGCGCGCGCGCGCGUGUGUGUGUGCUUCACCUUGAUUGAGUGGCAUUGGCUCACAUGACCCAGGAGAUUCCCAGACUCUGUUAGUAGUGUCUAGGAACUUGUGUUCCAGCUGAGGAGUGUCCCAGGUGUUAACGAGACUGAGGCCUAUUGCUGGAGUUCAGAUACUGCAGCUCCUCUUGUUUUUCUGCACUGUGUUUGCCAGCCCUGCCCCCAUCUGAUGGACCAGGCAGUCCUUUAUCUGGAGGGAAAAGUCUGAUGCCAGCAGAGGUCCUGGGGCGCUGCUCUCCCAGGUCCUGGUCAGACUCAGCUCCAUAGCUCUUGGAGGCUUUCCCUGGAUUCCCUGAGUACAGUGUUAAAAGGCCUAACCACACAGCCACCUGCCCUAAGUGACAUUGUGUUUUUAGGUGUCACCGUCUUAGCCCUUUGUUUUCCUUACUAGAGUAUCUUUCCCGCACCCCUAGGUUUGUAUUCUGGUUCUACUGGCUUUUCUCAGUGGGACACCAAGGUAGAAAGGGAGUAAGAAUGGUUUUCCAGUGAGUUGAAUGUGCACACGUUUAUGAGAGGCCUUUGGGUGAGCUUUCUGCUCAUUCCUUGGUUUGUCUUGGGUCCCACUGGGCAGGUGUCUAGCACUGAGAGGGAGAGUGUAGACAAGGGAGCCACGGAGGUACUGGAGGCAGCAAUUCCUCAUCCAGCUCAGGGACUCCUGACAGCCAAGGGGACAGCAAGAGGACCCAGAGCAGGGAAAGGGGUCGGGGAGUCACACAACCAAAGGUAGACUCAGACCAGUUCAGUGCUCCUGGUGGCCAUAGGGACCAGAAAGCAGCUUAGGAAAUCUAUCCAUUGGCCCUUUUAGAGUCUCUGUGUGAACCCAACUCUACUGAACUUAAACACCUUCCAAACAGUGGCAGGGGCCACAGUGGCAGACAGGGUAGAGUACCCCAGGCAGUUUCUCAGCCUCGUCCGUUGUGUGGAGGGAAUACUGAAUUCAGUUAUCUCACCUGACUGCUUUCCUGCCCUCAGACCUGGACACUGGGCCUCAGCCCCUGGCCGUGUGGAAUCCAUGGGAUCCUCGGGACUCCCCAGACAGGCGUGUGUGAGUGUGUUCUGUCAUGCAGCCUCAGCCCAGGCUAACCCAGUCAGUGUUUUCACCACGUCUGACCUUUCUCUCUGCACUUAGGAUUGGUGUCCACUUGUAGAUUUCUUUCAACACAGUAUAAGAAUGUGAUAUAUUGUAUAUUGGAAAGUAUUUACCUUAUUUAUAUACCUGAAUGUUCCUAUUAAACAAAUAAACAUAUACUAAAUUCU